UUCUCUCCGCCAGAAGAUUGGAAACAAUAUUCAUUUCUGAUCAGUUCAGUAAUACACUGUCCUUCAGUGUCCACCUGAGCAUUUCAGUGGAGAAGAAAAGAAACUUUGCUACCUGGGAGCUGAAGACUGCGUAGGUCAGUGAAUGCUAAUAAAGUCCUUAUGGACUUAUGGGACCAGGAGUUAACUUUUCUCAACUGUGAAGAAAGAUGCUGGAGUUCCACAUUCAGUUGUUCCCGUCUUUCCACGUCCAUGGUGCUCCAGAAGGUCUGCCCUACAAGAUCUAGAAUACUAUCAGAUGAAAUCAACUGAUUCAGGCCUUGCCAGCCGAAUGCCAUGCUUCUUCCUGGAGAGAAGAGGGUGAAAGAGCCAACAGGAACUGAGAAGCGUUAUAAACUAAGGAGGAAAAGUAACAAAGAGCUUGAAGACUUUCAUGGCUCCCAGGCCCUGGAUGGAGGCCGGCGGUCUCAGCCAGACGGAACCAAGGAGGUGCUGGUGGCUGCGGAGUGCAGUGCAGGAAGAAGCCUUCAUUCUGCUCCUACUACAAGUGGAAACCCAGAGGAGGGAACAAUUUGCCCAAGG